UUAAUUCCUAGUUGCCUCGUCUCCCGAAUCGGCCCAAUCCCAUCGUUCUCGUCAAUCGCGGCUGCUCACCGGCGCUCGUCUUAAUCGCCAUCGAUAUCCUCAUGGCCUCACUCCCUCCCCGUCCCUCACCAGCUCCCCAAUCCCCAUCGCUCCGCCACGGGACACCAUGGAGCUGGCGAGAACCUAGCCGGAAUCAAUUUGAUCUCCGCUCGGCGCUCCCCAAAUUUCCUUCACGCAGGCAAUCGCAGGCUGUGGCCUAGCCGGAAUCAAUCAAUCUGAUCUCCGCCCAGCCCUCCCCAAGUUUCCUUCAAACUAGCAAUCGCGGCAGGCUGUGGUGCGGUCAAUACUGGAUUAGCACGGCAAAUCGACGGCAAAUCGGCAACAGCGAUCAAGCCCAAUGGCUCCAACUCUCCGCUCCAGUACUAGCAAUCCUGGCCGAUCAUUGGCUUCUCAAGAUGGAGCAGAAGGUUCAGCUGUGGCUGGUUCAGGGAAUGGAAACUCCGUCGAUCCUUCAGUGUCUCAACAUGCUACUCCAAUAUCGCAAGCUGCUACUCCAAUAUCUCAAGCUGCUACUCCGACAUCUGAAGCUGCUACUCCGACAUCUCAGGUUACAUCUGGUAGAGCUGGUUCUAAGAGGAAGCUAACAUCUGCAGUAUGGAAUGAGAUGGAAUCAAAAUUAGAAAAUGGAGAAUGGAAAGCUGAGUGCAAUUAUUGUCACAGAAAAUUUGCUUCAGGACCUAGAGCUGGCACCAGUCACUUGCAUUCGCAUUUGGAUUCUUGUCCUGCUAGGCAUGCACCUAUGGGCCCAAAGCAACAAAAAUUAAGGUUGACAAAAGGUGAAGGUGGCAAAGUGAAUGUAGAAAAUAUCAUUUUUGACCAAGAGAAGGCUAGGAAAGAUCUUGCAUUGAUGAUCCCCUCUAUGGUAUAAACUCAAUAUUCUUAAUGCUCUUUAUGGUCCCCUCUAUGGACGAGAGCAUGCAACCACAGAAAUAGAGAAGGUGAGGAAAUUACUGAUUGGAUUAGUGAAGCAAUAUAAAGACGAAGUUGAAGGUGAGGAUACAUGGGAUGCUUAUGUUGCUGAGCCAGUUGGAGAAGAAGAUGAAGCCAUGAAACUGUAUGAUCUGUAUAUGUCUAGUCGUCCCACUGUACCUUCUUCAUCAAUCCAUACAGAAUUGGACUUGUAUUUGGAAGAAGCUUGUCUUCCUAGAACACAAGAACUGGAUAUCAUCACUUGGUGGAAGGUUAGCGGCUCGAGGUUUCCUACUUUGCAAAAACUUGCUCGUGAUAUAUUGCCUAUUCCCAUAACAUCUGUGGCUUCCGAAUGUGCAUUUAGUACUAGCGGAAGAGUACUAAGUGCGCAUCGUAGUAGACUUACUCCGAAUGUGGCUGAAGCUCUCAUGUGCAUGCAAGCUUGGUCUCGUGCUGAUAUGUUAGGUGGAUGGGAUUCUACUCUCUUUGCUACAUUUCAGAGUGUUCUUGAGGAUGAUGAAGAAGGUAUGGAUGAGUCUACUUCAAUCAUCACUCAAGAGUGAAGAUGCGGCACUACUUCUAUCUCUGUUGGGUUGGCGGUUGACGGCUGGUGUUUGUGCUCUCUAGAUGUUGUCCAGCAAGCUGCUGUUUGUGCUGGUCUAGUAGCUGGUGUAGAUGGCCCAAAGAACCAACAUCACUUGUCGUUGUGUUGUCCGCUAGCUAUUUCCGUUGGCUGAUGCUGGUGCUAGAUGUUGGCUUUUCGCUGAGACUAUGAAAUUUACCUUUCUGUUGUUAUUUGUUACUUGCUGGCUAUUAUGCCCUGAACUAUGUUAAGUCGUGGUGUCAACCAUUGUCAAAUUAUCAUGUCACUUUUGAUUUACU